GUGCCAGCCGCCGCGGUAACACGUAGGAUCCGAGCGUUAUCCGAAUUCACUGGGCGUAAAGCGCUUGCAGGCGGCGAGGUAAGUUGGAUGUAAAAUCUUCUGGCUCAACUGGGAGAUGCCGUUCAAGACUGCCUGGCUAGAGGGCGAUAGAGGGAGGUGGAAUUCCCGGUGUAGUGGUGAAAUGCGUAGAUAUCGGGAGGAACACCAGAGGCGAAAGCGGCCUCCUGGAUCGCACCUGACGCUGAGAAGCGAAAGCUAGGGGAGCAAACGGGAUUAGAUACCCCUGUAGUCC
rnacentral:rRNA from 1 species